rnacentral:lncRNA from 1 species
AUUAUUCCCUUAGGUCCUAGGACAGCAAAUUUGUAAACAAUCCUCAGCACCACAGAUAUUUUACAUGAAAUCAUAAAGUCAUUAAUAAUUCGUAAAGAAAAUUUAAUUCAAAAGAAAUAAAUAUUUAGUCAAUAUCUGCAGAUCUGAUGCAUGUUGAGAAGUCUGGAAAAUGAAACACUUGUGUCUUUUCCAUUACAUAUAAAUGAUAAAGCGUUUAUCAAAUGAUAAAAUAAUUCAUCGACCACUCCAUAUUUUCUGCAAAACACUCUUCACUGCCGCUCGCAUUUUUCUGUUCUUAUAACAAUAUAUAAAAGGAUUGACGAGCGCAUUAAACAGAGCAAUGGUAUCCGCUAUUGGCACGUAAAUGAACAAUAAAGUCGCGUCUGGUUGUUGUUUAAACGAAAGGUACACCAAUAAUGCAGCAAUGGGUAAAUAACAG